rnacentral:tRNA from 1 species
GCGAGGGUAGCCAAGCGGUCAAAGGCGGUAGGCUCAAGACCUACUGGCUUAGUGCCUUCGCAGGUUCGAAGCGAUUUUCAUUUUUUUAAAUUAAUUCAAUCUUAAGUUUUGAAUUUGGAAAAAAUAAAAUAAUAUAAUAAAAAUUGAUGUGAAAGUCGCGAAAAUCCUGCCCCUCGCA